rnacentral:lncRNA from 1 species
CAAUAGAAAAAAGAUUCAUUAUCCAUAUUUCACAAGUUACAUACAGAAAUAACUGUUAGUCUGCUCUGAGGUUAUUAUGGUUAUUUCUAAAGUUAUGCCAAUUGGGUACCUGAACUUGGCAUGUUAUUUCACGGCAUUGUACAUCAUCAUUUUGGAAUAUGGAACAAAGUUUUGGAAUGAAGUAUUUCAUUAAUCUUAU